rnacentral:lncRNA from 1 species
AGUAACUUUGAGACUGAAAGAUUAUUCCCUAGUAAGACAGUUCCAGUGAUACAUUUUCAGUAAUACUGCUAAGUAGCAAAUGGGACCUGCAACAAAAUGAAUGUUUAUGGACAUUUCUUUUUAAAAACAGGAAUGGAGCUAUAAGAAAGGGGAAAUCACAAAGGAGGCGUAUACACAAGUAGUCAACAGUUGCAGGGUGAAGGCUGGCUAAAGCUCAGAAUGAGCUCAGGCUUGCAAGAGAAGUUAAAAAUAAUUAAAAAGGUGUCUUUGGCUAUGUCUGAAGUAAGUGGAAGAACAAGCAAGUGGUAGGUUCUCUGUGUGGGAGGAGAAAUGCUAUUGUGUGACAGAGAGAAGGCGGAACUACUCAACACCUACUUCUGGGGGGAGGGGCAUCUUCUCCCAACCCGUUUACAGCCAGUGUGGUGUAGGAUGACCUUGGGCUAGACUAGGCUUCCUCAACCUCAGCCCUCCAGAUGUUUUUGGCCUACAACUCCCAUGAUCCCUAGCUAGCAGGACCAGUGGUCAGGGAUGCUGGGAAUUGUAGUCUCAAAACAUCUGGAGGGCCAUGGUUGAGGAAGCCUGGGCUAGACACUAGCUCUCAGCUUCACGUAUUUCACAGACUUGUUGUGAGGAUAAAGUAGUGGGAUUCAGGUAUGCCAACCUGAGUUCCUUGCAUGAACAGUGGGAUAAAAAUGUACUAAAGAAUAAUAGUUGUUUGCACAUGGAAUCAGUUCCAACACAUCAGUGUACUGGAGCAGAGAUUCUGUGCCCUCAUAUCUUAUUUGUUUGUUUAAAGAUGUUCCUCAGCUGCUCUUAAUCAUAGUCAAUCCUAGAGUCCAAUGCAUAACACAAACAUUCAGUUAAAGAAAGUGAGUGUGGUGUAGUGGUUACAGAGUCCUAUUAGGACCUGGGAGACCAGGAUCCAAAUCCCCAUUCAGCCAAAAAAGCCCACUGGGUGACCUUGGUUAGUUACUAUUUCUCAGCCUAACCUACCUCUCGAGGUUGUUGUGGGGAUAAAAUGCGGAGAUGGAGACAUGUGCAUGGCACCUUAAACUCCCUGGAUAUAAGGUGGGAUGAACGUAGCAGCAGCAGCAGCAACAACAACAACAACCAUCACACACAGAACUAUUCAUCAUAAAGAAUAAUAGCACUUAAAAACCAAAGAAAGUACUACCAAACUGUGGGGUGGGUUACACAUCCUCCAUCAAAAGAUGAUAUAAUAAGUUGCAUACGUCUGGGCAAAUAAAUGAUACAUCUCUUGAUGCCAAGUGUGCUUCCAGGUGAUCUCUUGCACAGGUGAUCAGGGCAACCAUGAACUAACCCCUUUUAGCCACUGUCUUGUAGGAAUAGCUAUCUCCCUUCCUUCCUGUUGGGUCUCAUGUCACCACACUUCCUCCAUUUUCCUUUGAUUUGCUUGGCCUUGGCCUUUGAAGAGGUUCACUGUGACAGAGUUUAAAACACACAUCACUGCAUGGAUCCAGCAAAUCCAUUGCACAAGGCCAGCUUAGAAUGAAUGAAAAAUUCUGGGAGCAGAGGGUGGGAAAUAUCUCCAGCUUGGCAUGGAAUCAUUCUCAGGUGGCUACAGCAAGUUUGAACGCUCCACUAAAACUACAGAAGUCACAGCCCAAUACAUCAAAAGGGUUGUAGGUUACUUUCCGGUUUGCUGAUUAGGUAGUUUCAGGUUCUAGUUUUGUUUUUGCAUAAUCACUGUAGCUAGAGCCAAGUCAAAGCCGCCUUGAAAAUAAAGCACAGGACACAAUAGAAAUGAAACUAGAGUGCACUGCAGAUGGUGGAAAGUGGAAAACUCAUCUUUUGACCUUUGUGCGAUGCUGAGUUUCCAAUUCUCUCUGUCCGCUUGGCCCUCCAGACCCAGAGGCAGCUGCAGAUGUUUCAAAGACAAUGUGCAAUACUGAUUUAUAGGAGACAGCAUGUUCCCUUAUGUACUCCUGCCUCAGCACAAUUAUCUUUGAAUAGUAAGAAGCCCGAUUCACCUUCCAACUUUUCAUUGUUCUGUAUGGAAAUGGGAGAUGCCACUAAACAGAUGCUAUCUCUGGAACACAACAGAAAAGUCUUAGUUGAAGGGCUUUGGAAUAGGCUGAUAAGCAUCAACCACUGAGUGAUCCAAGCCUCUGCAAUCUUAAUUCAUAUUCUUGCUCAUUUGUUGUUGCUAAACAUAUUUAGCAGAAAAAGAGCAGAUUUCAUGUAGGCCUGGGAUAAGCAACUUGGUACCCUCCAGGUGUUGUGAACUACAACUUCCACCAGUCCCAACCAGGAUGGGCAGUGGUCAGGGAUGAUGGGAGCUGCAGCCCACAUCAUCUGGAGCAGACUUUCUCAACCAUGGGUGCCCAGGUGUUGUUGGACUACAACUCCCAUCAUCCCUAACUAGCAGGACCGGUGGUUAGGGAUGAUGGAGGGUUGUAGUCCAAUAACAUCUGGGGACCCAAGGUUGAGAAAGGCUGAUCUGGGGGGUACUAUUUUAGCUACCCUGAUGCUCCUACCUGUGCCUAUAGUAUGACAUCAGGUGUGGUGUCUGUGGGUUUGAGGACUCAUGGUCUGAGAUCGGGCCCCUAUUUGGCUUAACUGGGCUCACAGGCUGGAGAUUCCCCACCAGUGGUCUAAAGGCAUAUGAUGCAGUAACCCUGACAGUGCUAAGCAGGUGAGCACCUGGUCAUUUCCUGGAUGAAAGCCUAAUAUAUGCUGUUUCAAGUUUAAUUGUGGGAAAAUGUGGAGUAUGAUAGAAAGAAGAUUCUAUCUGCAUUCUAAUCACACACUUUUCCUGACAUUUAUUGGCCUUAUGCUUCAGUUGAAAUGGGAAAUUAUUACUAAUACUUUUUUUGUCACUUUGGGCUAGAUUUGUACACAACAGGAUCUCUCAGUUACAUAUGCUUUGAAAAUAUAUAUUCAUAUGCUAUUGUUUUGUUUCUGAAUAGGCCAAAACCUGUUUCCCCGAGUUCAGAAAACGAUGUCUGCAUUAAAGUCACUGUUCUUUGUAGGCUCUCUGCGGCAUUUCCCAGCGUGCCUCCUGCGCAGGUGGGCAGAAUUAUUUGCUCCCAGCCCAGAACAAUUCUGCUUGCUGCUUUGUGAGCAGCACAACAUUUUGUCACACGCUUUUGAAAAUGUGUUUUUCGCAUGACCCCAGUUGGUGAGGA